UACGUAGGGUGCAAGCGUUAAUCGGAAUUACUGGGCGUAAAGCGUGCGCAGGCGGUUAUGUAAGACAGAUGUGAAAAUCCCCGGGCUCAACCUGGGAACUGCAUUUGUGACUGCAUAGCUAGAGUACGGUAGAGGGGGGAUGGAAUUCCGCGUGUAGCAGUGAAAUGCGUAGAUAUGCGGAGGAACACCGAUGGCGAAGGCAAUCCCCUGGACCUGUACUGACGCUCAUGCACGAAAGCGUGGGGAGCAAACAGG
rnacentral:rRNA from 1 species